rnacentral:rRNA from 1 species
UACGAAGGGGGCUAGCGUUGCUCGGAAUUACUGGGCGUAAAGCGCACGUAGGCGGUCUUUUUAAGUCGGGGGUGAAAUCCUGGAGCUCAACUCCAGAACUGCCUCGAUACUGGAAGACUUGAGUCCGGGAGAGGGUGAGUGGAACUGCGAGUGUAGAGGUGAAAUUCGUAGAUAUUCGCAAGAACACCAGUGGCGAAGGCGGCUCACUGGCCCGGUACUGACGCUGAGGUGCGAAAGCGUGGGGAGCAAACAGGG